rnacentral:tmRNA from 1 species
GGGGUCGGUUAUGGAUUCGACAGAAAUAUUUAGGGUUUAGAUAGCAAGUCGUUAUUCCACGUUACGGAAAAAUAAAAAUAACUGGAAACAGUAAUAGAAAUGCUGUAGCAUACGCAUAGUUAACAAGCUACAGGCUCUCGUUUUCUUUGCUUAUGGGAAAAAUUGAGGGUUCAUAUAAUAAGCUAUAUUAUUAGUAAUGACUAUAGCUAAUAAUGAAUAUAAUAGUCUAGCAAAUAAUUAGGUUGUCAAUUAACGAAAUUAUUUGUAAAUUUAAUAAUUGACUAAACUUGUAGAGGUUUAAAUCGCGGUAUUUUUGGACAGGGGUUCAACUCCCCUCGACUCCACCA